rnacentral:tRNA from 1 species
UACCGAUUAGCUCAGUUGGUAAAGAAUUUGCCUGCAAUACAGGAGGUCCAGGUUCAAUCCCUGGGUCGGGAA